UAAGAACAUAUCCUUAAAAAAUGUGUUUAUGAUUUUGAAUGUACGUAAAACUGACAUCUUCAAGAUGUCUAUCAGAUAUUUGUACAAAGCAGAUGCUUUCUAGAUG